CCCCGUUCCACCAAUUCCCAUUCUCCUCUCUUUUUGUUUUUCUUUCCUCUCCCUUUCGUCGAUGAGCCUGGCGGUGGCUUCUUCGGACAUCUGUCAGCUCCCAUUUCGCUGCUUCGAGCACCAAGAGUUUUAUUCUUUUUGAGGGGUUGCGGCCUUCCUCUUUGGGCAGCAUAAGUGACAAUAGUGUUGCUAAUCAACUUGGUGGUGGGAUUUCUACACUUCGACUUGAUGGGGCUAAUCUUUGGAUGCUGAGAAAGUGAAUACCUGAUUCAGAUAAUUAAUUUCGAGCGUGGGACGAAAUAUUGGGACAGAGCUUUUAGAAGCGAGAUUAGCAUUGUCAACUUCA